UGCAAUUGAGGUUGAUGACUGC
rnacentral:piRNA from 1 species